GACCAGCGGAGUGGCCAAGGCUCGCACGCGGGCCUCAGCGCCCUCUGGUGUCAGCCCCCCAUCUCUGCAGCCUCUGGGACCUCGACAGGUGAGGGUGACGUGGGAGCCCCCAGUGCGUCCUAACGGGGAGAUAGUCAGCUACACGGUGUACCAGCGAGACCCCGCCCUCCUCGCCACGCUCAGCGUCUCCUUGGGACAGGAAGACAGCGCCUUCUCUGGACGCAGCACGACACUGCAGGAUCUGAAACCUCACCACAGGUACGAGGUGAGGGUGGAGGCAUGUACAGAGCUGGGCUGUGCCUCCAGUGACUGGGCGUCAGUGCUCACUCUCGAGUCGCCCCCUGCUGGACAGAACUCACCACUGCUGGAUCUACAGACGGACCAACAAGGCCUGCAGACGGUCUUCCAGCUCUCCUGGUCUCCCCCGUCCCAGCCGAAUGGUAGAGUCCUGCAUUAUGAGGUGUACC